UGGCGAUACCCAUACCUGAUGUUAUAAUACAGUAGUGUUUCGGAUCUGGUGUUACUGCAGUUGCAAGUCGGAUCAUCUUGCAAUUUCAAUUAAAGCUGGCACAAGAAAAUGAAUUGAGUUUGUAUAUGCCAAAGAAGAACCAUUCCACGAUCGAAUACCGGUAUCAGGCUUACAGUUUCUCAGUGAAUAACGAAAGUAUGCUAGGGAAGAGGCAUUACAACUUCUCCGAUAAUUUUUAACAUGUGACGUAGUUCUGCGGUAAACAACAUCAAUAUGCCAAUAAAGAAGCAUUACAAUGUUUCCAAUAGUGUUCAACAUGUUAUGAAAUAUGGUGGUCGCGGUUAUAUUAUUGCAAAAAACAUUUGCUGGUUUAACAGCGUGAUGCAAUUAUUGCAUAUAGCUUUCGUGUCCAUAUAUUUGAGCAUUGCUCUCUUUUGUUCAUUUAUUAUCCUUAUUUCUACCUAGACUCGUCUCCAUGCAAUACGUUUUGAUAGUUGCAGCCGGUCAUUUAUGUAUUUUGUGAUAAACUUAGCAGUGGCGAAAAACUCAGUUUAAUUUUACCAUCACAUUCUUAGUUAACCAAAUGCGAAGUGAAGUAAACGUAAGCGAAAUUGAAUUGGUGAAGAAAAAUUUGAGAAGGCGUAGGUAA